rnacentral:rRNA from 1 species
AGCCUCGGAUGAUGCAUCGUGGAGGUAGAGCGACUGUUUGGACGAGGGCCCCUUGCGGGGUACCGAAUCCUGAUAAACUCCGAAUGCCACAGAUGUUAAUCCGGGAGUCACACUGCGAGUGAUAAGAUCCGUAGUGGAGAGGGAAACAACCCAGACCGUCGGCUAAGGUCCCCAAAUCCUUGUUAAGUGGAAAAGGAUGUGGGGCUGCUUAGACAACUAGGAUGUUGGCUUAGAAGCAGCCAUCAUUUAAAGAGUGCGUAAUAGCUCACUAGUCGAG